UACGUAGGAUCCAAGCGUUGUCCGGAUUUACUGGGUGUAAAGGGUGCGCAGGCGGACUUAUAAGUCAGGGGUGAAAUCUUACUGCUCAACAGUGAAACUGCCUUUGAUACUGUAGGUCUUGAAUUAGGAGAGAGUCGUGGAAAUCCGAGUGUAGCAGUGAAAUGUGUAGAUAUUCGGAAGAACACCAGACGGCGAAGGCAGCGACUUGGCCCUAUAUUGACGCUCAGGCACG
rnacentral:rRNA from 1 species